rnacentral:rRNA from 1 species
UGUUGUUGCGGUUAAAAAGCUCGUAGUCAGAGCUGUGUCCCGCGCUGCCGGUCCACAGACUGUCUGUGCCGACUGCGCACGUCGCGAGGACGUCCUGGCCGGAAGCGGCGUAGCCGAAGUUCUGUUCGUAGUGCAGGUUCGCCCUGUGCGCGGCAGUUCUAAGGUGAGCUGCAAUUUAGGUCCCGACCUGGUGCUCUUAAUCGAGUGCCUAGGAGGGCCGGCACUCUUACUUUGAACAAACUCGAGUGCUCAAAGCUGGCCUUCUGGCCUAGACGCUGUGUGCAUGGAAUAAUGGAAUAGGACUUCGGUUCUAUUUGGUUGGUUCUACGAACCGAAGUAAUGAUCAAAAGGAGCAGGCGGGGGCAUUCGUACUGCGACGUUAGAGGUGAAAUUCUUAGAUCGUCGCAAGACGGACAAAAGCGAAAGCAUUUGCCAAGGAUGUUUCCACUGAUCAAGAGCGAAAGUUGGAGGAUCGAAGGCGAUCAGAUACCGCCCUAGUUCUAACUAUAAAUGAUGCCAGCCAGCUAUGCACCGCAGUCGCCUUUGACUCGGAGCGAAGCUUCCGGGAAACCAGAGCUUUCAGGUUCCGGGGGAAGUAUGGUUGCAAAGCUGAAACUUAAAGGAAUUGACGG